CGUGCUGCAGGAUGGAGGUGAACUUGGAGAACAUCCUGUCCCGCGACUGCAGCAGCCGCUGCCGGGAGAACCGCGAGAGCUCCUCGAUGCGCCGCCGCCGCCGCUCCAGGAGAGAAAGAGACAAAGACGGGUUUAUUUCACCUCCAAACCAAAUACUUCAAAGAAAAAGAUCAUCCCUGCCAUUUUCCAGUGCCAUGCAAAAAGCAGAGAUACCGUUUUGGAGCCUGCAUCAUUUCAGAAGAAAAUGUGGAUAUAAGGCACACGUACUUGAUUAGGGUGUCUAAGAGAA